rnacentral:ncRNA from 1 species
UGGUGGAAGCGCGUUGAUGCCUGAGGGGAAGGUCCCUUAAGUACGAGAGGAACGGGGGAUCGGCGCCUCUAGUGUAUGGGUUGUCUGGCAAGGCACUGCCCAGCAGCCACGCGCCAUGCGGAUAACGGCUGAAAGCAUCUAAGCCGGAAGCCGCCCUCAAGACGAGGCAUCUUAUGGCCGUCGUAAUCGACGACGUUGAUAGAGCGGGGGUGUACGCACGAAGCCCGCAAGGGCGACGUGUUCAGCCCGCCGCCACUAACCGCCAUAGCCACACCAGCA